GACGAACGCUGGCGGCGUGCUUAACACAUGCAAGUCGAACGGAAAGGCCCUGCUUUUGUGGGGUGCUCGAGUGGCGAACGGGUGAGUAACACGUGAGUAACCUGCCCUUGACUUUGGGAUAACUUCAGGAAACUGGGGCUAAUACCGGAUAGGAGCUCCUGCUGCAUGGUGGGGGUUGGAAAGUUUCGGCGGUUGGGGAUGGACUCGCGGCUUAUCAGCUUGUUGGUGGGGUAGUGGCUUACCAAGGCUUUGACGGGUAGCCGGCCUGAGAGGGUGACCGGCCACAUUGGGACUGAGAUACGGCCCAGACUCCUACGGGAGGCAGCAGUGGGGAAUAUUGCACAAUGGGCGGAAGCCUGAUGCAGCAACGCCGCGUGCGGGAUGACGGCCUUCGGGUUGUAAACCGCUUUCGCCUGUGACGAAGCGUGAGUGACGGUAAUGGGUAAAGAAGCACCGGCUAACUACGUGCCAGCAGCCGCGGUGAUACGUAGGGUGCGAGCGUUGUCCGGAUUUAUUGGGCGUAAAGGGCUCGUAGGUGGUUGAUCGCGUCGGAAGUGUAAUCUUGGGGCUUAACCCUGAGCGUGCUUUCGAUACGGGUUGACUUGAGGAAGGUAGGGGAGAAUGGAAUUCCUGGUGGAGCGGUGGAAUGCGCAGAUAUCAGGAGGAACACCAGUGGCGAAGGCGGUUCUCUGGGCCUUUCCUGACGCUGAGGAGCGAAAGCGUGGGGAGCGAACAGGCCUAGAUACCCUGGUAGUCCACGCUGUAAACGGUGGGUACUAGGUGUGGGGUCCAUUCCACGGGUUCCGUGCCGUAGCUAACGCUUUAAGUACCCCGCCUGGGGAGUACGGCCGCAAGGCCAAAACUCAAAGGAAUUGACGGGGCCCCGCACAAGCGGCGGAGCAUGCGGAUUAAUUCGAUGCAACGCGUAGAACCUUACCUGGGUUUGACAUGGAUCGGGAGUGCUCAGAGAUGGGUGUGCCUCUUUUGGGGUCGGUUCACAGGUGGUGCAUGCCUGUCGUCAGCUCGUGUCGUGAGAUGUUGGGUUAAGUCCCGCAACGAGCGCAACCCUUGUUCACUGUUGCCAGCACGUUAUGGUGGGGACUCAGUGGAGACCGCCGGGGUCAACUCGGAGGAAGGUGGGGAUGACGUCAAGUCAUCAUGCCCCUUAUGUCCAGGGCUUCACGCAUGCUACAAUGGCUGGUACAGAGAGUGGCGAGCCUGUGAGGGUGAGCGAAUCUCGGAAAGCCGGUCUCAGUUCGGAUUGGGGUCUGCAACUCGACCUCAUGAAGUCGGAGUCGCUAGUAAUCGCAGAUCAGCAACGCUGCGGUGAAUACGUUCCCGGG
rnacentral:rRNA from 1 species